rnacentral:snoRNA from 1 species
CUGAAGUGGAUAUUCCCAGGAAGUCACUCUCCUUGGGCUCCGUUCAGGUUUGGCGUGGUGAGGCAGCCCAGGACUCUGAAGGACAGUCGUUUCCCACCUCUUCCGAGUCCGAGAUCAAGCCGGGCCCGAGUCUGUGCCAGAGUCGAGACACAGCA